GAUGAAGAACGUAGCGAAAUGCGAUAAGUAAUGUGAAUUGCAGAAUUCAGUGAAUCAUCGAAUCUUUGAACGCACAUUGCGCCCGCCAGUAUUCUGGCGGGCAUGCCUGUUCGAGCGUCAUUUCAACCAUCAAGCCCCCGGGCUUGUGUUGGGGACCUGCGGCUGCCGCAGGCCCUGAAAAGCAGUGGCGGGCUCGCUGUCACACCGAGCGUAGUAGAUUUUAUCUCGCUCUGGGCGUGCUGCGGGUUCCGGCCGUUAAACCACCCUUUUAACCCAAGGUUGACCUCGGAUCAGGUAGGAAGACCCGCUGAACUUAAGCAUAUCAAUAAGCGGACGA
rnacentral:misc_RNA from 1 species